UACGGAGGGUGCAAGCGUUAUCCGGAUUCACUGGGUUUAAAGGGUGUGUAGGCGGCCAGAUAAGUCCGCUGUGAAAUCUCGAGGCUCAACUUCGAGCUGUCGGUGGAAACUGUCUGGCUAGAGUCCGGAAGAGGAGAAUGGAAUUCCUGGUGUAGCGGUGAAAUGCGCAGAUAUCAGGAAGAACACCGGUGGCGAAGGCGGAUCUCUGGGCCUUACCUGACGCUGAGGAGCGAAAGCAUGGGGAGCAAACAGG
rnacentral:rRNA from 1 species